GACGAACGCUGGCGGCGUGCUUAACACAUGCAAGUCGAACGGAAAGGCCCUGCUUUUUUGGGGUGCUCGAGUGGCGAACGGGUGAGUAACACGUGAGUAACCUGCCCUUGACUUUGGGAUAACUUCAGGAAACUGGGGCUAAUACCGGAUAGCAGCUCCUGCUGCAUGGUGGGGGUUGGAUAGUUUAGGCGGGUGGGGAUGGACUGGCGGGUUAUCAGCUUGUUGGUUGGGUAGUGGCUUACCCAGGCUUUGAAGGGUAGCCCGCCUGAGAGGGUGACCGGGGACAUUGGGACUGAGAGACGGCCCAGACGGCAACGGGAGGCAGCGGUGGGGAAUAUUGCACAAUGAGCGGACGCCUGAUGCAGCAACGCUGCGUGCGGGAUGACGGCCUUCGGGGAGUGAACCGCUGUCGCCUGUGACGAAGCGUGAGUGACGGUAAUGGGAAAAGAAGCACCGGCUAACUACGUG
rnacentral:rRNA from 1 species